rnacentral:rRNA from 1 species
GACGAACCGUGCGAGCGUUAUUCGGAAUCACUGGGCUUAAAGGGCGCGUAGGCGGGCUCGCAGGUCAGGGGUGAAAGCCCACGGCUCAACCGUGGAAGUGCCUUUGAUACCGUGAGUCUCGAGGGAGGUAGGGGCGUGCGGAACUUCCGGUGGAGCGGUGAAAUGCGUAGAUAUCGGAAGGAACAUCGGUGGCGAAAGCGGCGCGCUGGACCUCUUCUGACGCUGAGGCGCGAAAGCCAGGGGAGCAAACGGG